UGAGUAUGAAACCGACCAAAAGUCCUCUUUUGGAAAGGUCUAUACUAUAUAUAGUAUAGACCUUUCCAAAAGAGGACUUUUGGUCGGUUUUUUGCUC
rnacentral:pre_miRNA from 1 species